CUCGGCCACGCCAAGGCCUCCAGCGCUCGCCCCCUUCUCUGCUUCCCACGAGCAGGGAGCCUUUCUUCUCCCGGGAAAACCACAUCCGUUCAUCCUCAGCCAUGGCCGACCUCCGUAGCUUCUUUGCCGGUGCUGCUCCUCCCAUGGUUGCCUUCUUCCCCACUACCGGCCACCGUUCAUGCAGUGCCUAGACGCUUGGAGCUCGGCACAACUCCCUCCCAAGGCCGAGGGCCCCCUUUCCCAGCCAUGGAGCCGAAACUCCAAUCUCCUCCCUGCUGUUCGCGUGCUGAAAUUGAGGUAGAAGAAGACCCCCCUGAGUCUAUGACAGGUGGGCCCAAGGC
rnacentral:misc_RNA from 1 species